GACGAACGCUGGCGGCGUGCUUAACACAUGCAAGUCGAACGGAAAGGCCUGCUUUCCCUUGUGGAUUGCGGGUACUCGAGUGGCGAACGGGUGAGUAACACGUGAGUGAUCUGCCCCCAACUUGGGUAUAAGCCUGGGAAACUGGGUCUAAUUCCCGAUAGGACUGCAGGGUGGUGCCUGUGGUGGAAAACGAUUUUCUAGUGGUUGGGGAUGAGCUCGCGGCCUAUCAGCUUGUUGGUGGGGUAAUGGCCUACCAAGGCGGCGACGGGUAGCCGGCCUGAGAGGGUGGACGGCCACAUUGGGACUGAGUGACGGCCCAGACUCCUACGGGAGGCAGCAGUGGGGAAUAUUGCACAAUGGGCGGAAGCCUGAUGCAGCGACGCCGCGUGGGGGAUGACGGCCUUCGGGUUGUAAACUCCUUUCGACCGCGAGGAAGCCACCUGGUUGGAAGGGUGGUGACGGUAGUGGUAGAAGAAGCACCGGCUAACUACGUG
rnacentral:rRNA from 1 species